rnacentral:tRNA from 1 species
GUGCACUUAGCUCAGCGGUUAGAGCACCCUUCUAGAGUUUGGGGAAAACAAGUCAUGGGUUUGAGUCCCAUAGUUCACA